UACGUAGGUGACAAGCGUUGUUCGGAAUUACUGGGCGUAAAGGGUGCGUAGGCGGGUCUUUUAAGUCAGGGGUGAAAUCCUGGAGCUCAACUCCAGAACUGCCUUUGAUACUGAGGAUCUUGAGUACGGGAGAGGUGAGUGGAACUGCGAGUGUAGAGGUGAAAUUCGUAGAUAUUCGCAAGAACACCAGUGGCGAAGGCGGCUCACUGGCCCGUAACUGACGCUGAGGCACGAAAGCGUGGGGAGCAAACAGG
rnacentral:rRNA from 1 species